CUUGCAACCUAUGAUCUUUAUAAUAAAAACAAAUUCUAUCACACGUGCAUCAGUAGGUGGCAGAGAGGAGAGAGGCUGUGUCUACAUCUGACCUGUGAACAUCUGAAUGAGUCAUAACCUAACAUU